rnacentral:rRNA from 1 species
UACGUAGGGUGCAAGCGUUGUCCGGAAUUAUUGGGCGUAAAGAGCUCGUAGGCGGUUUGUCGCGUCUGCUGUGAAAAUGCGAGGCUCAACCUCGCGCCUGCAGUGGGUACGGGCAGACUAGAGUGCGGUAGGGGAGAUUGGAAUUCCUGGUGUAGCGGUGGAAUGCGCAGAUAUCAGGAGGAACACCGAUGGCGAAGGCAGAUCUCUGGGCCGUAACUGACGCUGGAGGAGCGAAAAGCAUGGGGAGCGAACAGG